rnacentral:rRNA from 1 species
AAUAUUGCACAAGGGGGGAAACCCUGAUGCAGCGACGCCGCGUGAGUGAAGAAGUAUUUCGGUAUGAAAAGCUCUAGCAGAAGGGACGAAAAUGACGGUACCUGACUAAGAAGCACCGGCUAACAACGCGCCAGCAGCCGCGGUAAUACGUAGGGGGCAAGCGUUGUCCGGAUUUACUGGGUGUAAAGGGAGCGUAGGUGGCGAGGCAAGUCAGAUGUGAAAGCCCGGGGCUCAACCCCGGGAUUGCAUUUGAAACUGGUUUGCUAGAGUGCAGGAGAGGUAAGUGGAAUUCCUAGUGUAGCGGUGAAAUGCGUAGAUAUUAGGAGGAACGCCAGUGGCGAAGGCGGCUUACUGGACUGUAACUGACACUGAGGCUCGAAAGCGUGGAGAGCAAACA